GGUAGAUAUCGUCUAAUUGGUUAAGGCUUUAGUUUGUGACAUUAAAAAUAUUGGUUCAAGUCCAGUUAUUUACC
rnacentral:tRNA from 1 species